GACGAACGCUGGCGGCGUGCCUAACACAUGCAAGUCGAACGGAAAGGCCCUGCUUUUGUGCUGUGCUCGAGUGGCGAACGGGUGAGUAACACGUGUGUAACCUGACCUUCACUUUCGGAUAACUUCAGGAAACUGGGCCUACUACCAUAUAGGAGCUCCUGCACCAUUGUGGGCAUUGGAAAGUUUCGGCUGUUGGGGAUGGAUGCGCGGCUUAUGAGCUUGCUGGUUGGGUAGUGGCUUACCAAGGCUUUGAAGGGUAGCCGGCCUGGGAGGGUGACCGGGGACAUGGGGACUGCGAGACGGAGCAGUCGCCUACGGGAGGCAGCAGUGGGGAGUAUUACACAGUGGGCGGAAGUCUGAGGCAGAGACGCCGCGUGCGGGAUGACGGCUUGCUGGGUGUGAACCGCUUUCGCCUGUGACGAAGCGGGAGUGGCGGUAAUGGGUAAAGAAGCACCGGCUAACUACGUG
rnacentral:rRNA from 1 species